rnacentral:lncRNA from 1 species
CUUAUGUUAUAGCAUCUGUUAUAGUUCAUUACAAAAGUAGUUAAGGAACGGUUUCUAACCUAGCAUUAAAUAUGUGUAACAUGCUUGAGUUAAACAGGUUGAAUACAUCAUUCUAUUUCUUGAAUAAUCUGAAUCUUAACAGUCUCUAUCCAUUCUUUUCAAUAAAUAUAUUUAUUUAAAUAUUUUUUAUUAUUUAAAAAGCUUUCAUGCAUGUUUGUUACCCUAGCACGUCCCUGUCUGCCCUUCUGGCAAGUCUAGGUUUUCUUUUUUUUUUCAAUAGUUUUUUGGUUUGACGGCUGAGUUUUCCAGUGUUGUGAAUAAUCUUCUCUUUCUAUUCUUCACGUAUAACGACCAUGGAAUCUGACUUUACAGCUCUAUCCUUUGAUGACGAAGAGGAAGAUAUCCUGCAAGUGGAAGGAGAAAUAGAAUCGGUAAGUAAAGAAGAAGAUUUAAGUCUAGUUGGGUGUUUCCUUACUGCCAGUAUCAUCCAUUACCCAGCAAUGAAAAGUACUAUGGCUAAUUUAUUGCAUCCAAUCAAGGGGGUUCAAAUUAGAGAUUUGGGGGAAAGAGAUGUAUUUUUAAAUUUUUUCACAUUAUGGAUAUGGAGAAAGUUAUUAAAGGGUCUUUUUGGACAUUUAAUAACCAUCUGCUGAUUCUGCAUAAGUUGCAAUGGGGAGAGGACCCACUCAGGAUUCUAUUAAUUUCAUCACCUUUUUGGGUACAAGUUCAUGAGGUUCCUAUUGAUUUUUACUCUGAAAGUUUAGCCAUGCAAUUAAUAAAUUUUAUUAAUACUUUCCAGGAGUAUGAUAGUUCUAGUUUGGGGAAAGAAAAUAUGAAUUAUAUGCGGAUUAGAGUACACAUUGAUAUUUGUCGCCCUCUCAAAAGGAAAAAACAGAUUAAGUUUAAGAAUAUGUGUUCUUAUGUCAGAUUUAAGUAUGAGAGAUUAACUCUCUUUUGCUUCUUCUGUGGCCGGUUAGGGCAUAACGAUUCCUUUUGCAAAGCAAAAAUAGAAGCUGGGGUUGAAAUAGAAGAAAUAGGAUAGGAUCUAUCUUUGCGGGCACAGUCAAGGAGAGCCCAAGCAAUGCGUAGUGCCUGGUUAAGAGAGGAGGGAGGAUCAGUAGGCAAAAAUAAUAGAGAUGAAGUCGGGAGUGAUAGAGAUUGAAGGAAAAUGGGAAAAAUUGAGAAUAUUCUGGAUCCAAUUCUAGGUUUUAAUCUGGAAGGUAACGGGCUUUACGCAGAGUUAGGAAGUUCAAGGAAGCUAAUUGGUAAUAAUAACAUAGAGAUGGAGCAUGAUUUGAAGAAUGAGCUGAUUGUAGGAGAGGAGGGGAAAAAGAGGAUUAGAGGGGAAAUGGAAGAAAGUAUGGAGGCGGGAAGGAGGAAUAGGAGAAGGGCUAAAUCUAACCAUUUGUUAUCGACAGCUGCCAAGAGGCAAGCCGACCGGUCGCAAUGAAAAUCUUAAGCUGGAAUGUCCGAAGGUUAGGGAAUCCUCGGACAGUUCGACGACUUCGGCAUUCGCUGAAGCAACAUCAUCCCCAAGUGGUCUUAUUAAUGGAGACAAAAUUAAACAAAAAUAAAAUGGAAAAAGUUCGAAGAAGGUGUGGGUUUCAACUUGGCAUUGAUGUUGACUCGAUUGGAUCGAAAGGUGGGCUAAAUUUGGCAUGGCAAGAAAAUGUUAAUAUUAAACUACAAAGCUUUUCAAACUGACAUAUUGAUGUGUUUAUUGAGGAAGGAGAGGACAGGAAAAUAUGGAGACUUACAGGUUUUUAUGGAUCCCCUUAUUCACAAGACAGGGAUGCAACAUGGAAUCUGUUGAGACAAUUACGGAAUCAGAGAGAAUACCCUUGGCUGGUUUGCGGGGAUUUUAAUGAAAUCUUAUAUGGUUUCGAAAAGAAAGGUGGAUUACCUAGGGAGGAAAGAAGAAUAGAGGCAUUUAGACAAGUUCUAGAAGAUUGUAAUCUGGUUGAUUUGGGAUAUUCUGGCAGAUGGUUCACAUGGGAGAGAGGGAACUUAAUUGAAACAAAUAUUCAGGAGAGACUUGACAGAGGUGUUGCAACGGAGCAAUGGAGCGACUUAUUCUCAAACAAUCUGGUACGACAUCUUUCACAUUCAUUCUCGGACCAUUGUCCAAUUCUUUUAUAUACGGCUUACAAGAAUAGAGAGAGGGCAAGAAAAAACUUCAAGUUUGAAGCGUGGUAGGUACUAGAAGAAACAUUCUUUAGUGAAACUAAAAGAAUUUGGGAAAAUUCUACAGGAUAUCUUAUAAACAAGCUGGAGAUCCUCAAAAAAGGGUUAGAGAAGUGGGGAGUGAAAAUCAAACAGAAUAGGAAAAUGAAAACAGAAGGUUUGACUUCAAAACUGAUAGCAUUACUUGAAGAAGACAGAAGUGAUGAGAAUCUGGCAAAGAUUAUUGAUACAAAAAUCCAUCUGAACUUUGAGAUUGAAAAAGACGAGAGUUACUGGGAACAGAGGGCCCGAAUUAAUUGGCUUAAGCUAGGGGACAGAUACAUAAAUUACAGUCAGAAGACGAAAGGGAAACAGAUGAGUGGAAGGAAAAGGAGGAAAUUGCUAGAUUGUAUUUUCAAAAAUUAUUUAAUACAGGAGGACAAAAUCAUUGCGAUAGAAUCCUAACAGGUAUUGAAGGCCGUAUCACAGAAGAAGACAAUAAUACUUUAAAGGCAAGAUACACAAAGGAAGAGAUACUGGAAGCGCUUUCAGGAAUAGGACCUACAAAAGCUCCAGGAGAUGACAGUUUUCCAGCCCUGUUUUAUCAAAAGUGUUUGCCAAUUGUUGGAGAGGAUGUAACCAAUUUUUGUCUUCAUAGGUUAAACGAAGGUAUGGAUUUACAUUCAAUCAAUAAAACAAACAUUGUGCUUAUUUCAAAAGUCUUGAAUCCCUCAAGGAUUACUCAGUUUUGACCAAUUAGUUUAUGCAAUGUGAUUUACAAGCUGAUAGCGAAAGUUAUUGCUAGACGACUCAGAGGAGUAAUGCAUAAAUGUAUAGAUUUAGCUCAAAGCGCUUUUGUCCCAAGAAGGCUGAUUUCAGAUAAUGUUUUACUUGCGUAUGAAAUCUUACAUACUCUAAAACUCAAGAGGGUGGGGAAAAGAGGAUUCAUGGCUGUCAAACUUGAUAUGAGUAAAACAUACGAUAGAGUCGAAUGGGGCUUUGUGGAAGGGGUAAUGAAAAAGUUGGGUUUUGAUCUAGGAUGGGUUGUUUCAAUUUUGAAAUGUGUCUCGACGGUCUCUUAUGAGGUGAUUAUCAAUGGCAACAGAGGGCAAACGAUAAUUCCAUCUAGAGGAAUCAGACAAGGUGACCCUCUCAGUCUGUUCUUAUUUCUGUUCUGUGCAGAAGGUAUAUCGAGUUUAAUGCGACUUGCAAAAAAAGAAAGCAUCCUUAGAGGAGUUAAAGCAAGUCAAAGAGGACCAGCUAUCUCACAUUUACUCUUUGCCGAUGAUUGUAUUUUAUUUGCAGAAGCUUCAGAAAGGGGGGCACAUGCUUUAAAACAGAUUCUAAAGGAAUAUGAAUUGAGCUCAAGGCAAUGUGUGAAUUAUGAAAAAUCGGCUGUUUUCUUCAGUACAAACACAGAAGAGCAUGUAAGGGGUAAUGUCUCGAUGAUCCUAGGAGUUGGAAGAGCGAAUGAUAUAGAGAGAUACCUAGGGCUUCCUAGUAUGGUGGAAAAAAGAAAGAAAAUAUCUUUUCAAAGUUUGAAAGACAGACUCAAACAAAGGAUUGAUAAUUUGAGCACAAGGUUUCUAUCUCAAGGAGGCAAGGAAGUUUUUAUUAAAGCGAUCUUACAAGCUAUCCCAAUGUAUUCAAUGUCGUGUUUUCUACUCCCUAAGACCCUAUGUACGGAUCUGGAAAGAAUUGUUGCUAAUUUCUGGUGGCGUAAGAAAUGGAAUAAAAAGAGUAUCCAUUGGUGUACCUGGGAGAAUCUUUGCUUAUUAAAAGAAAAUGGUGGUCUUGGUUUCCGAAAUUUUACGAAGUUUAAUAUUGCUUUAUUAGCGAAACAGGGUUGGCGUCUUGUUAAUUACCUAAAUUCAUUAUUAGCUCGUGUUUUGAAAUCAAAGUAUUAUCCCAAUUUAGAUUUCUUGAAAGCUCGGCUAGGAAAUUUACCCUCACUUACCUGGAGAAGUGUUUGGUCUGCGAAAGGUCUGCUUGAAAAAGGUCUAUGCUGGAGAGUGGGUCGAGGUGAUAGGAUUUCCAUCUAUGAUGAUCUGUGGUUACCAGGAAAAGAAAUGGCUAGAAUACCGAAUCAAGAAGUGAAUGGUAAUUUUGAAUUUGUCUCAGAGUUGAUUGAACCAAGUAACAGAGAGUGGAAAACAGAGGUAAUAAAGGAUACCUUCAAACCAGCUGUAGCGGAGAAAAUAUUGAGGAUCCCAUUGGCGGAGACAGAACAUGAAGAUCUUCAAGUUUGGAAAGGGGAGUCGACCGGAGAAUUUUCAGUUAGGAGCGCCUAUAAACUAUUACAUGAGUUGACUUUGGAUCCUAAUGAGUUAUUUUUACAUACCGAAACUAUAAACUUUUACAGGAAACUAUGGACAUUACAAAUUCCAUCGAAAAUCAAAAUGACUAUAUGGAGGAUUUCAUGGAACUAUAUCCCAUCUUUUCUCAAUCUCAAAAUAAAGCGGGUUUUGGUGAAUACUAAAUGUCCCAGAUGUGAGUCUGAAGAAGAAAGCAGUCGCCAUAUUUUCCAACAGUGCCCUGCAGCGAUUGAGGUCUGGUAUCAUCUUAACCUUUCGUGGAUACUGAACUACAAUAAUGAGGAUUUAUGGAGAUGGCUCACUGGAAUCUUUGGUCAAGGAAACGAGGAGCAGUUGCGACUAUUCUGCUGUGGACUAUGGUAUAUCUGGUUCAGUAGAAAUCAACUCAUUUAUGGAAAAAAACAAAUGUCAGGAUUAGAAAUAGCAAGGAAAAUUAGAAACUAUUUAACAGAACUCGAAGCAGCAAAAAAAGAUAAACCUACCUUCCAUACUUCUGACUGUUAUCAACAAGUUUUCAAAAGGGGAUGGGCAACAGUUCAUUUUGAUGCAGCGUUUGAUAGUCAGACGUUCAGAUCGGCAUCGGGGUUAAUAGUUUGGAAUGGGGAAGGGGAAAUCCUUGCGUCUUUAGCAGUUCUCCACUCCAACAUCGAAGAUUCAUUCACAGCGGAGGCUCAUGCAGGAUUACAAGCAAUCACUCUAGGUAUUAAUUUGGGAAUCAACAAAAUGGAGAUAAUGGGUGAUGCAAAAAUAGUUAUCAAAAAGUGUAAAAGUUCCAUUACAGAUAGAUCGGUCAUUGGAGCAAUAAUCAGAGAUAUUCGGAACCGGAAAAAUUGUUACCAGGAGAUUAAGUUUUCUUUUAUUCCAAAAGCAAAAAACAUCUAUGCUCACACUAUUGCAACGGAGGCUCUUAAGAGAAGCGAAAGUUUUUACCUGGAGAAGGGAGUCCCAGAGACAGUCAGUCGAGUGCUGGAGAGGCACGAAUUGAAACCUCCUGAUUGAAGAAAUGAAAGGUUCUUAUGCAAUAAAGGAUAGCAGAGUAAAAGAAGCAUUAGAACCUGCUAUCAUUAAAGCUGGUGGGUGGCUCUAAACGGAAAUGACAAAGUGAUGUCCAGCUAUAUUGAUUUGACUGGGUUUGGAUAAGCACGAGUUUUAUUUUAUUUUGUUUAUUUAUUAGGCCCAAUUUGUUUCUGGAUAAGCAUGAGUUUUAUUUUACUUUAUUUUGUUUAUUUAUUAGGCCCAAUUUGUUUCUUUGUUUCCAG